UCUGGACGCCUCUUUUGGUUUGUCCCCUGGAACAAUAUCCUGAUGCUGAAUGAGUGGGACAUACAUGCUCCAGCAUCAGUGAUUUUGUUGCAGGCGGCACACAUUGCUCCUGGUCCAUCGG
rnacentral:pre_miRNA from 14 species